GGGGUAGUACAGGUUUCGACAGGGGUUGUGCAAUUAUGGAAGCCAUUCGUCUGUGCCACGUUACGACACAAAAAUAAAUAUAAACGCUGAAGAUAAUUUAGCUUACGCUGCCUAAUAGCGGCAGCUGUCUAACCUAAGGCACCUACACUUUAGAAUUAGGCAUCAAAUUUUGUAGGACACUAGCUUAUCAAAGCUUUGAGAUAAGUUAAGUAAUAUGAAGCUACUAAGGUAAGAAUCCUGUCAUUAGGAGUUUUACUAAGGGAAUGUUAAAAUAAUGACUGUAAUGGGAGAAGCUAUAAUGAAUCGGCUUUUGGACGCGAGUUCGACUCUCGCCUACUCCAUUG
rnacentral:tmRNA from 1 species